rnacentral:rRNA from 1 species
GACGAACGCUGGCGGCGUGCUUAACACAUGCAAGUCGAACGGAAAGGCCCUGCUUUUGUGGGGUGCUCGAGUGGCGAACGGGUGAGUAACACGUGAGUAACCUGCCCUUGACUUUGGGAUAACUUCAGGAAACUGGGGCUAAUACCGGAUAGGAGCUCCUGCUGCAUGGUGGGGGUUGGAAAGUUUCGGCGGUUGGGGGUGGACUCGCGGCUUAUCAGCUUGUUGGUGGGGUAGUGGCUUACCAAGGCUUUGACGGGUAGCCGGCCUGAGAGGGUGACCGGCCACAUUGGGACUGAGAUACGGCCCAGACUCCUACGAGAGGCAGCAGUGGGGAAUAUUGCACAAUGGGCGGAAGCCUGAUGCAGCAACGCCGCGGGCGGGAUGACGGCCUUCGGGUUGUAAACCGCUUUCGCCUGUAACGAAGCGUGAGUGACGGUAAUGGGUAAAGAAGCACCGGCUAACUACUUGC